rnacentral:rRNA from 1 species
GCAAAACUCAAUUUUUCUAUUACAUUUUUUAAAAAAAAUUUUUAUUAAAAAAAGUAUUCUAAAAAAAAUUUCUAACUUAAUCAACCGCAAGGGUUAAUAUUCAGCUUUCUUAAGAAAUGAUAAUCUCAUGUCCCUCUUGCAUCAUGGAGAAGCAACAAAAACUUAUUAAAACACACUCCCGAAUGACUAUGAGCUACUAACCCUUAAAAACCAAUGUUUCAUAAUUGGUAAAGUAACUUUUAGUAGAAGUAACAAGCCUUUCAUAUAGUCAUAUAGCUGGCUUUUCUUAAAAAGCAUCAAAGUGCUGGCUUAUAGGACAAAGUUAAUGUUCUUAAUUAUAAAGCUUAAUCUAUUGAGGAUUAGCUCAAUAGAAACUCAAAAAUACUUUAUCCAUCAAUCUCAUUAGUAGGCUUAAAAGCAGCCGUCUAAUAACGUUUUAGUUGUUGAAACGCUUUAUUAAAUAUUUACAUUCUUCAUUUUAAACUCAAAGAAAUUUAACAAAGAAUUUUUCUUGUUACUAAACAGGCAUUCUAUUAGUAUUUAGCGUAAAUAUACUACUAAAUAUUUUCAAAAAAUUUUGGACCAAAAUACUUUAUACACACUGAAAUAUGCAAAGAGAACUCGGCAAAUAAGUUCCCUGCCUGUUUACCAAAAACAUCGUCUUUUGAAAAUCCCUGAUAAAAGAUAAUGCCUGCCCAGUGAAAUCUUAAACGGCCGCGUUAGCGUGAGCGUGCUAAGGUAGCGUAAUAAUUAGCCUUUUAAUUGGAGGCCAGUGAAUGGCAAGACUAGGAACACCUUUACUUUGUAUAUCAAAAAAACUUAUCUUCUAAGUGAAAAAACUUAGAUAGUAAAGGUAGACGAAAAGACCCCGCGGAGCUUUACCUUUUCUUAUACUAUUGUGUAUCAACUUUAAGUAUUCAAGGUUUGAUUGGGGCAAUCUUGGAACCAACAAAGCUUCCAACUCUUAAAGAAAUCUAUUCAAAAUUUAUUAAGGACCAAAAAGAAGCUACCCCGGGGAUAACAGCGUAAUUCAACUUAAGAGUACAUAUCGAAAGCU